rnacentral:rRNA from 1 species
AUGAACGCUAGCUACAGGCUUAACACAUGCAAGUCGAGGGGCAGCAUGGUCUUAGCUUGCUAAGGCCGAUGGCGACCGGCGCACGGGUGAGUAACACGUAUCCAACCUGCCGUCUACUCUUGGACAGCCUUCUGAAAGGAAGAUUAAUACAAGAUGGCAUCAUGAGUCCGCAUGUUCACAUGAUUAAAGGUAUUCCGGUAGACGAUGGGGAUGCGUUCCAUUAGAUAGUAGGCGGGGUAACGGCCCACCUAGUCUUCGAUGGAUAGGGGUUCUGAGAGGAAGGUCCCCCACAUUGGAACUGAGACACGGUCCAAACUCCUACGGGAGGCAGCAGUGAGGAAUAUUGGUCAAUGGGCGAGAGCCUGAACCAGCCAAGUAGCGUGAAGGAUGACUGCCCUAUGGGUUGUAAACUUCUUUUAUAAAGGAAUAAAGUCGGGUAUGCAUACCCGUUUGCAUGUACUUUAUGAAUAAGGAUCGGCUAACUCCGUGCCAGCAGCCGCGGUAAUACGGAGGAUCCGAGCGUUAUCCGGAUUUAUUGGGUUUAAAGGGAGCGUAGAUGGAUGUUUAAGUCAGUUGUGAAAGUUUGCGGCUCAACCGUAAAAUUGCAGUUGAUACUGGAUAUCUUGAGUGCAGUUGAGGCAGGCGGAAUUCGUGGUGUAGCGGUGAAAUGCUUAGAUAUCACGAAGAACUCCGAUUGCGAAGGCAGCCUGCUAAGCUGCAACUGACAUUGAGGCUCGAAAGUGUGGGUAUCAAACAGGAUUAGAUACCCUGGUAGUCCACACGGUAAACGAUGAAUACUCGCUGUUUGCGAUAUACAGCAAGCGGCCAAGCGAAAGCGUUAAGUAUUCCACCUGGGGAGUACGCCGGCAACGGUGAAACUCAAAGGAAUUGACGGGGGCCCGCACAAGCGGUGGAGUAUGUGGUUUAAUUCGACGCAACGCGAAGAACCUUACCAGCACUUGACAUCCAACUAACGAAAUAGAGAUAUAUUAGGUGCCCUUCGGGGAAAGUUGAGACAGGUGGUGCAUGGUUGUCGUCAGCUCGUGCCGUGAGGUGUCGGCUUAAGUGCCAUAACGAGCGCAACCCUUGUUGUCAGUUACUAACAGGUUUCGCUGAGGACUCUGACAAGACUGCCAUCGUAAGAUGUGAGGAAGGUGGGGAUGACGUCAAAUCAGCACGGCCCUUACGUCCGGGGCUACACACGUGUUACAAUGGGGGGUACAGAGGGCCGCUACCACGCGAGUGGAUGCCAAUCCCCAAAACCUCUCUCAGUUCGGACUGGAGUCUGCAACCCGACUCCACGAAGCUGGAUUCGCUAGUAAUCGCGCAUCAGCCACGGCGCGGUGAAUACGUUCCCGGGCCUUGUACACACCGCCCGUCAAGCCAUGGGAGCCGGGGGUACCUGAAGUGCGUAACCGCGAGGAGCGCCCUAGGGUAAAACUGGUGACUGGGGCU